AGUCGAGCGAUCGACGGGAGCUUGCUCCCUGAGAUUAGCGGCGGACGGGUGAGUAACACGUGGGCAACCUGCCUAUAAGACUGGGAUAACUUCGGGAAACCGGAGCUAAUACCGGAUACGUUCUUUUCUCGCAUGAGAGAAGAUGGAAAGACGGUUUACGCUGUCACUUAUAGAUGGGCCCGCGGCGCAUUAGCUAGUUGGUGAGGUAAUGGCUCACCAAGGCGACGAUGCGUAGCCGACCUGAGAGGGUGAUCGGCCACACUGGGACUGAGACACGGCCCAGACUCCUACGGGAGGCAGCAGUAGGGAAUCUUCCGCAAUGGACGAAAGUCUGACGGAGCAACGCCGCGUGAACGAAGAAGGCCUUCGGGUCGUAAAGUUCUGUUGUUAGGGAAGAACAAGUACCAGAGUAACUGCUGGUACCUUGACGGUACCUAACCAGAAAGCCACGGCUAACUACGUGCCAGCAGCCGCGGUAAUACGUAGGUGGCAAGCGUUGUCCGGAAUUAUUGGGCGUAAAGCGCGCGCAGGUGGUUCCUUAAGUCUGAUGUGAAAGCCCACGGCUCAACCGUGGAGGGUCAUUGGAAACUGGGGAACUUGAGUGCAGAAGAGGAAAGUGGAAUUCCAAGUGUAGCGGUGAAAUGCGUAGAGAUUUGGAGGAACACCAGUGGCGAAGGCGACUUUCUGGUCUGUAACUGACACUGAGGCGCGAAAG
rnacentral:rRNA from 2 species